rnacentral:lncRNA from 1 species
AAAAUUUUACAAGGUUUUCACUUAGUUUUGCUAAAAUGUCCAUCUCUUCAUCUUGUUUCAAUUGUGAGUCAAUUGUGUGGCAUGGGUACAAUUAUGCUCUCUUCAUAUGCAGAAUUAAUGUCAUUUUUUUUACUAUAGAUAUUUUCCAUUUUUCACCUGAGACCACAGGCCAAUUUCAAAAAGAAUAUUUACUUCUAAUUAUGUAGCUUCUAUUACAUAGCUAGUAUUGUCUUUGUUUACUUCAUGUAUAUGCCAAAAAGACCUCAUGACUUAUGAAACGUUCAACUGUUUACUUAAAUUGGCCCAAUAAAUUUAAUAAACUCAAUUAUGUCAAUUUUAUAAAGUAAAAUGAACAGUAACUAAACAAAAACUGGAUUCAAUAGCAUUCUCUAAUUGAAACAAAAUAUAAAAUACACUAAAUAACAUACAAUACACGCACUGUGAAAUUACUCACGUGAAAAUUAUUUUGUGAACACCAUUAAAUUUUAUCAAAGUCACUUUCAUAAUCUCUGAGGUGAUUAUACAAAGAAUGUUUUAUGAAAAGAAAAUUAUGUCUAUGGUGAGCAACAGGCAAACAGACAAACAACAAAAAAAGAAUUUGCACAAGAUGAUUCUAAGCCAGGAGCAAUAACAUUUUAGAUAAAUGAAUUUAAUACACAGCAGAGAAAAUAGAUUUGCUUUCAAAAUCUCUGAAGUUUCUGGUUUGCUGGUAAGUGAUCAACACUUGUAAAAUUAUCUGUUCAUUCUAAUAUUUUUCUUUUCUUCUCAAAGUAGGUACACAACCAUAAACAAAUAUGAUUACUUUCUCUAUAAAUCUGUUACACCUGAAGUUUAUUUUACAGUGAUAUAUCUAUAUAUUUAAAUCCAUGUAAACCAAAACUAAAGGUCUGUAUGUGUUUAGCAGACCAGAGAAGUCAUAUGUUCAACAGAAAAAAGUAGGAUAAAAUUUUAUAAAUAGUUGUUCAGAAUUCAGAAACAUAUAGCUCCAAUUAUACUCAUAAUCUUCAUUACAACCAUCAUAAUAAUCUGUAGUUACAAGUAAACAAAAAUGUAAGUUGUAGAAACCAUAUUCUCUAAAUUAUUUUAAGUUAAAGACCACUGACAAAGGGAUCACUAGAGAUGUUAGUCCACUGUCACCCAAUAGUAUAUUGUUACCUACAACCUUGGGUAAGAUGGGAUAAGUUAACAUCAGUGGCAAGAUACACAUUCAAUGUAAAAUAGCCUUAACACAAUAACAAUAAUUUUGGUUUAUUAAAACAAAUUAAGUUCACACAUUGUCAUUAAAAAGGCAUUUUGAAAUUCACUGUAUUUUAAUUACCUUAAUUUGCAAAUGGUAAGGCAAUUUCCUUCUAAAAUUCAAAUUGUUUCUCUUACUAAGCAGAUUAUUAUCCUGAUCACUUACCACACUCCUAUCAUCCUGUCACUUACGAUACUGCUGUAAACUAAUAAGUGGCCUUUCCACUUAGAAUUUCUUCGUGUGUCUUAGGUUUCAGUUUACUUAAUCCUCCAUGGAAAAGUAUAUAAAUCUGUCCAUCUAAUAUAGAAGAACCUCUCACAACUCUGGUGCAACCACUGACCAUGUUCUUUCACAUAAAUUCUAGAAAUGAAGACACAGCAUCAAAUGUAAGAGUUAAAUUAUAUUGAAAUUUGCUUUUGAAAAAUAUUGAAUCCUUUUAAUAUAAAAAAGUAGGUUCCCUUUAGAGAAAAGUGAUCGAGAUUGCUGACUAGAAGCAGCUAGACUGUGCAGUUCUCAUAGACAGGAAUGCAAGGUAUACAUAAAUACAGCACCUGCAACUGAAACAUCCAGGUACUUGCAUUGGGAAUAAUCAAAGAAACAAUCUAUGGAGAAUGGAGUAAAGCAAGGCAGGACAAUGGGCCACCUGGGAACAACAUGGAGCCAAGGGAACCUCCCCACCCAGUAAAGCAGUGAGUGCAUGUGUGACCCUAGAAACCCAUGAUUCUCCCACAGAUCUCUGCAACCUUCAGGUGAGGAGAUACCCUCAUGAACCCACUUCACCAAGGCCUUCAGUUUAACACACAGAGCUACAUGGAGUCUCAGCAGAUAAGCCACUUAGGCCUGCGCAGAUUCAAGAGCCUUAGGUGGUAAGACCUACUGGCUUAGAUUCCAGCCAACCAUUGGUAGCAGCACUGCACCUCCCUGGGAUGGAGCUACCAGAAAGAGGAGUGGGCCACCAUCUUUGCUGCUUGAGCAACUUAGCCAUUCCAGCCUUCAGGCUUUGAAGAGCCCAAGCUGACCGGGGGGCGGAAAGGAUCUCCUAGCACAGUACAGGUGCUCUAAAAAGACAUGGCCAGACUGCCUGUUAAAGCAGGUCCCCCGUUUCAUUCCUUCUCACUGGAAAGUACUUCCCAAUGAGGGUCUCCAGCUACCACCACCAGCGCUCUUUGGUUGAUGGAGUUUUGAAACCUCUUUGGGAUACAGUUCCUAGAGGGAGGAGUGAGCUGCCAUUUUUGCUGUUUGUGUGAGUUAGCUGUUCCAGCCUUCUGGCUUUGGAGAAUCCAAAUAAACUGGGGGUGGAAGUGGUACCUCUGAAUAGCAGAGCUGUCCUGCAAAAAUAUGGCUAGACUGCUUUCUUAAGUGGGUCCCCAAUCAUGUUUUCCUCACUGGGUAGGACCUUCAACAGGGGCUUCCAGCUACCUCCUACAGGUGCUUUUGGGCUGGCAACAGGUCUAUACCUCCCUGGGAUGGCGCUCCCAGAGAAAAGGGCAUGCUGCCAUUGUUGCUGUUUUGCAGCAUUCAGUGGUGAUAACUUCCAGUACUGGAAAAUCUGAGGUGACUAGAAACUGUAGUGGACACCCAGCAUACUGCAGCAGCCCUUCAGAAGUGGUCGGACUGUUACGUGAGUGCCUGUUCUCAUAUAUUCUCACGAGGCAGGUUCUCCAGGCCCGGGCCACUAGCCAAUCAUUGCCAGAGCUAUUGAGCCAGUAGCAGCUUAGCAACUCCCUGGACAGAGCCUCCAGGGGCCUCUGCAGUACAACUGUCCUUGCUACCCUCAGACUAAUAAAAAAUCCCAAACCCUAAGUGCCUUAUUCACACCUCAAACUGCAGUUUACCCAAGGAGAGGAAGCCAGCCCAUCCUCCAUGGGUCCCACAAACUACCCACUGCUCCUCAGCAGACAGUAAACCCCUAACUUGGCCAAAAGUAAAGAUCUUCCAUCCUGGGCUGGCUGCACUGAGUAAUUGCUGACCUACAUCUCUCUGAGAUGCAGCCCCCAGAAGACAAGCAAAGAGAUAAUGCAGGUUUGGCUUUGCUUGCCCCACCAGCAAAUGGGAAUGCAAUAUGCCCCGCCACCCCCAGCAACUGCCAUUGUAGAUGAAACUUUGGUGGGCAGAGAGCCAGAAAACUCCACCCCUGCCUUUGUGCUAACACUGUGCAGAGAACAGGGUAACCUCCCACACUCUGAACAAUCACUCUUUCUUGGGGGGCACAGAGAAGGCAUCAAAACCUUUACUGGCCAGUAUCCUGCCCCAAGCCAACACCACCUUUAGUGCAACAGCACACAGCCUCCAGCAGGUAUCCCCCACUCCCUUCCCAGCUGCUUUGCUCCUGCCACUGAGGUGAGUACCCAAAGACAGGCAGAAAUCCCAUAUCCACUAGCACUCUGCUCCAGCUAUGGCACCUUCAUCCCACAAACUCGCAAACUCCAAAUCUCAAGGAGCCAGAGAACACAGUUGGGGCUCAAAACAAGUCCCCCGGAGUUAGAGUAUGCAGCCUCUGAGUUGUGAGCUGAGCAUUGCCCACCCACCACCACCACCAAACAAAACAAAACAAAACAAAACAAAACAAAAAAAACCUCCCAGGAACAAAGCCUGUUGGCUGCAUCCAUCUUAUACCACAAUCAAAUACUCAAGACCAUCAAAUAGGAUUAAAAAAAAAAAAGCCCAAAGGUCAGCAACCUCAAAGAUAUGCCCACAAAGAUAAGACACAAUCAGUGCAAAGAUAAAAACACAAAAAGCCAGAGUGACUUCUUUCAUCCAAAUGACCAAAUUACAUUUCCAGCAAGGCCUAAGAUGACAGAAGUAGAAUUCAGAAUAUGGGUAGAAACAAACUUCACUGAGUUACAAAAGUAAUUUGCAACCCAAUGCAAGGGAGGAAAAAAAAUUGCAGGAACUGACGGAAAAAACAGCCAGUCUGGAGAAAAAAUGUGGCCAACCUGAUAGAACUGAAAAACACAAUACAAAACCUUUAUAAUGUAAUCACAUAUAUUAACAGCAGAAUAGGCCAAGCAGAGGAAAGAAUCUCAGGGCCUCAAGACUGGCUUUCUGAAAUCAGACAGACAAGAACAGUGAAAAAAGAAUAAAGAGGAAUGAACAAAACCUCUAAGAAAUAUGGGAUUAUGUAAAGAAACCAAAUCUAUGAUGCAAGAGAUUGCCUGAAAGUGAUGGGGAGAAUGAAAACAACUUGAAAUACGUAUUUCAGGAUAACAUCCAUGAGAACUUCCCCAACCUAGAGAGGCCAACAUUCAAAUGCAGGAAAUGUGGAGAACCCCAGUAAGAUACCCCAGGAGAAGGUCAUCCUCAAGACACAUAAUCAUGAGAUUCUCCAGGGUCAAAAUGAAAGAAAAAAUAUGUUAAAGGCAGCUAGAGAGAAAGGCCAGGUCACCUCUAAAAAGAAGCUCAUCAGGAAAACAACAAAUCUUUCAGCUGAAAUCCUACAAGUCAAAAGAGAUUAUAGGGGCCAAUAUUCAACAUUCUUAAAAAAAGAAUUCCAACACAGAAUUUCAUAUCUGACCAAGGUAAGCUUCAGAAGUAAAAAAUAUAUAUGAUCCUAUUCAGACAAGCAAAUGCUGAGAAAAUGUUACCACAGGAUCUGUCUUAAAAGAGCUUCUGAAGAAAGCAUUAAAUAAGAAAAAGACUAUUACCAGUCACUACAAAAGCACACUAAAGUAUACAAACUGUGGACACUAUAAAGCAACCACAGAAACAAAUGUGCAAAAUAGCCAGCUAAGAUCCUAAUAACAGAAUCCAAUCCACACAUAUGAAUACUAACCUUAAAUGUAAA